GUCUUCGUGGAGCAAUGUAACUCGCUCCCAAAUAUUUCUGAAUUGCACGAACUUUACAGGGGAGCGUCGGUGGUUCGAAUCCACCCGAAGACC